rnacentral:rRNA from 1 species
GAUGAACGCUGGCGGCGUGCCUAAUACAUGCAAGUCGAGCGAACAGACGAGGAGCUUGCUCCUCUGACGUUAGCGGCGGACGGGUGAGUAACACGUGGAUAACCUACCUAUAAGACUGGGAUAACUUCGGGAAACCGGAGCUAAUACCGGAUAACAUGAUGAACCGCAUGGUUUAACAGUGAAAGACGGUCUUGCUGUCACUUAUAGAUGGAUCCGCGCCGCAUUAGCUAGUUGGUAAGGUAACGGCUUACCAAGGCAACGAUGCGUAGCCGACCUGAGAGGGUGAUCGGCCACACUGGAACUGAGACACGGUCCAGACUCCUACGGGAGGCAGCAGUAGGGAAUCUUCCGCAAUGGGCGAAAGCCUGACGGAGCAACGCCGCGUGAGUGAAGAAGGUCUUCGGAUCGUAAAACUCUGUUAUUAGGGAAGAACAAAUGUGUAAGUAACUAUGCACGUCUUGACGGUACCUAAUCAGAAAGCCACGGCUAACUACGUG